CUAUACAUGCAGUCGAGCGGACUGAUGGGAGCUUGCUCCCUGAAGUCAGCGGCGGACGGGUGAGUAACACGUGGGUAACCUGCCUGUAAGACUGGGAUAACUCCGGGAAACCGGGGCUAAUACCGGAUAGGUCUUUUCCUCGCAUGAGGAAGAGUGGAAAGGCGGCUUCGGCUGCCACUUACAGAUGGACCCGCGGCGCAUUAGCUAGUUGGUGAGGUAACGGCUCACCAAGGCGACGAUGCGUAGCCGACCUGAGAGGGUGAUCGGCCACACUGGGACUGAGACACGGCCCAGACUCCUACGGGAGGCAGCAGUAGGGAAUCUUCCGCAAUGGACGAAAGUCUGACGGAGCAACGCCGCGUGAGUGAUGAAGGUUUUCGGAUCGUAAAGCUCUGUUGUUAGGGAAGAACAAGUGCCGUUCGAAUAGGGCGGCACCUUGACGGUACCUAACCAGAAAGCCACGGCUAACUACGUGCCAGCAGCCGCGGUAAUACGUAGGUGGCAAGCGUUGUCCGGAAUUAUUGGGCGUAAAGCGCGCGCAGGCGGUCUCUUAAGUCUGAUGUGAAAGCCCACGGCUCAACCGUGGAGGGUCAUUGGAA
rnacentral:rRNA from 1 species